GCGGCUAUGGCGGAACUGGUAGACGCGCUGGACUUAGGAUCCAGUGGGAAACCAUCAGAGUUCAAAUCUCUGUAGCCGCACCA
rnacentral:tRNA from 1 species